GGUAUGAUGCCGGCAUUUGGAUCGGUAAGGCAACUCUCAGUCUACUCUUUGUCUCGUGAGCGCUGCUGGCAUUCCCGGAGGCUGGGAGUCGAAUUUUAUUCUCUUGUGGGAUUGUAGCAGGGGUUUGUGAACAGUGGUUUCGUUUCUUCCCUGGAGAGAAGGGAAGAAGGGGUCGUGGAAGACUCUUUGCAUCUGAGGAGGGGGGGGCUAGCAGCACGACGAGGAUGAACGCCGAGAUGGAAGGUAAGCUUCGACACUCGCAGUGCCCCUUUGGUGGACUUGGAGAGCGUUUUUACGAGGUGACAAGAAAGCUAUAAACCAGGCAUUGUGGCUUGAAUGCCCGGGACCUCUCAUCACUUUGCCAGCGAUUGGUAGCCAAGUUGUCUACUUCCCACAAGGUCACACCGAACAAGUCAACAUACGUAGGAACUCUCAGAAAACGAAAAAAACCUUUUUUUUUCUCGUACCAGGUGGUAGCUUCCACGCAGAAGGAGGCUGAUUUCGAUAUCCCAAUCUCCCACCUCCAUGCCGAUCAAGAAAACGACGAGGUAUUCGCGCAGAUGACGCUGCAGCCCUUCUCACAGACUGCGGUAAUCGCUUCCGAUGAAACUCUUGGUUUUCUUCUUGCAGGACCCGUUUCUUUUGCCGGACUUUGGAAUCCAAACGAAGCAAACCAUUGUUUCUUUCUCCAGGACACUAACAGUGAGUGAUACGAGCACUCAUGGUGGUUUUGCCAUUCCUUGCAGAGCAGCGGAGAAAGUUCCCCCCGCCCCCUCUUGAUUUUACCCAGACACCUCCAGCUCAAGAGCUCGUUGCCAGAGACUUACACAACAUCGAGUGGCGUUUCCGCCAUAUCUAUCGAGGCUACAAAAUGGAAAGAGUAUUUUUCACCUCAAGAACAGCACAGUGUCGCCAGCUUGAAGCCGCUUAAAACUGACAAAGACGCUCCACCCGGUCGUUAGCAAGUGCCCUCCAGGCUGGAGCUUGAGAUUUUCUUGCAGGGACGAGCAGGGACAACACAUGCUGGGAAUUCGACGUGCAAACCGGCAGCAAACGAAUCUCCGAGCGACAGCACGCUCGUCGGUGUUCUUGCCGCGGCUGCUCACGCAGCGUCGACUAACAGCCGCUUCGAGGUGCUCCUGCAGAGGAGGACUACUCUCUCUCUCGCGGAGGAGGAAUACUCGUGCUCUCUCGCAGAGGAGGAUCUCCAGAUGAAAGAGAAGAAGGCAAGUUUAAAUAUGAACUUUCCUGGGCUCGGGAUGCCGAUGCAAUUCAACCAGUCGAUGCCACCGCUACUCCAGCAGCAGCAACAACAGGCCCAGCAGAUUAUCGACUUGCCUCCAAACGUCCCGGAAGCAGCGAGCAUCCUCUCAAGACCCCUCCGGAUCAGGGGUGAAUCGAAGCAGCACGCCGCUUCUAAACCGCCUCAUCGUCUGGGUGAUCGUGAUGUUGUGAUGAUGUUUUGUGUCGUGAUCGUUUUUUAUGCUUCCUGUCAGGGCCGGAUCAUGUGAAAAACCAUGAAACUCUUCACCUCCUCGAAGAUCGAACGCCAGUUUUCCUGUCCGGAAAUCACAUCGAUGGAAUAAUAAGAUACUACUUACUUCCCUUU